AUGAAGUUUCCUGUUCACCUCUUGGUGCUGCUGUUGUUGGGGAUUCCUGCUUCCAGAGGUGAUGUUGUGAUGACACAAACUCCACUCUCCCUGCCUAUAAGCCUUGGAGAUCAAGCCUCUUUCUCUUGCAGGUCUAGUCAGAGCCUAUUACACAGUAAUGGAAACACCUAUUUAGCGUGGUACCUACAGAAGUCGGGCCAGUCACCUCAGAUCCUCAUCUACAGGAUUUCCAACAGAUUUUCUGGGGUCCCAGACAGGUUCAGUGGCAGUGGGUCAGGGACAGAUUUCACACUCAAGAUCAGCAGAGUAGAGCCUGAGGAUUUAGGAGUUUAUUACUGCUUACAACAUACACAUUUACCGCCCACAGUGAUUUAUACCCCAACAAAAAUGUCCUUGCGUAGAAUGGCCCAGCUGUUAAUAUGUUACUCAUCUUUGUAA